UACAGAGGGUGCAAGCGUUGUUCGGAAUUAUUGGGCGUAAAGCGCGUGUAGGCGGCUUUGCAAGUCGGGUGUGAAAAGCCCCUCAGCUCAACUGAGGAAGUGCGCCCGAAACUGCAGAGCUUGAGUACCGGAGAGGGUGGCGGAAUUCCCCCAAAGUAGAGGUGAAAAUUCGUAGAUAUGGGGGAGGAACACCGGUGGGCGA
rnacentral:rRNA from 1 species